rnacentral:lncRNA from 1 species
GUGCCAGACGGGCCCGGCCAUGUGGGAGCAGCUGCGUUUUUUGUUUACUUUCUCUGCUAUCGCGUCUAUUGCGUCAUUUUUUCUGCCCCCUGGGGUUUGUAGGUGGGCUCUUCUCUUGGGCCCUGUGUAUUUGAGAAUAUUUUCCUGUUAGCUGGUACUGCCCAGCUAGGUGUGUUAUGAACUUUCUGCUACAUUUGGGAUCAGUGUGCCACUGUAAAGGAUUUGUCCAUAAAACCUCUCCAGUGGUCACCCCUCUUUUUUCUGUAAAUUACUGUUUGGCUGUUUUAUUUGCUCUGGCUGCAAUUUUCAUUUAAUUCCUGCUGAACCUGCAUUAUUCCUGCAUCGCUUUGCAUGCUACAGUUUGGCCUGUCCGGCCUGUACCUCACUUCUGAGCCUGUCUUGCCUGCAUACGUGAAUUGGCCUGCUAUGCCUGUGCCCCAUUGAUUUGCCUGCUUUGUCUGUGCCCCUUGAUUUGGCCUGCGCGGUCUGUGCCAUUUUUCUACCUAUGCUUGACCUGUCAGGCCGUACUCUCGCUUGGACCCUGCAUGCGCUACCUAACUUGCCGCUGAUACUAUUAGGGGUGAUGCCUCGUUUACCCUGCCGGUGACACCUGUCCUCUCUACCCCCAGGUGUCACAUCGCCCAGGUCUCUGUGAUCAUGGAACCAUCUACACAGGAGCUGUCCCUGCAAGCAAUGAUCAACGCAGCAGUGGCCGCCUCUGUGGAGAAGAUGGUAGACAACUCGGCUGAGUCAGACUCUCCUGGGAGAGAGCGGGCAAGUGCGCAGGGGCACUACUGGAAGGGUGAAGGCCCUGAACCACGCUCCCAGAAAGGCAAAGCUCUGGCGAAGUGCCAUGCUCCAUCAAUGUCGGCCUCUCCGGCCAGGCACCGCCUCUUGUCAGGAGUGGGGGACGAGACUUCUACACACUCCUAGUCUAUGGCUGUCCUGGAUGAAUGGCGGGCAGACUAGUACCCCUUCGAGGAGGAGGUUGAGUGGGACAAGGACUAUUGAGAUGACCUUAAAGGGCACCAGGAGAUGGAGGAUGCCCCGCGCCUGGGGCAACGUCUACGGCUUUGGACGAGGACAUUUUCCUGGACGCCACGGGUGAAUCCCUGUUCGACCCUCAGGCAAUUUGACACCCCAGGCCCUCAGAAUGGUCCCUCCCCGAACACUUAGCACAGUUCGUGCAUUACUGGGUCUGCAGACCUCUGGAAUGGGAGGUUCACAGAAAACUUUGGGCUGAAUGUCCCAGACCGGUUCUGCUGGAUAAGGUCGCCACAACCCCGGAAUUUGACUCGCUGGUCUCCACGUACAUGACCCGCACUGGGCGUGAGUCCAGCUGCUGGACAGGUGCAGGAUGCUAAUGCUAAUGCUAGCAGACGAGGCCUUCACAGAGGGAGCUGCCCUGGACCUGGCCAACAUACAGGACUGGGCUUUGUGCUCUAUUUGCCUGCUGGGCAAUACUAACGUGGCACUCUCCACGGAUCUCAGGAAGGCGGUCCUUUUACGGAUGGACAACAAAUUGUCGGAGUUAGAGUCAAAAGAAUUGGGCCUUCCGUUAGGGAACCGUUCAUAAAGGAACUGCAUAAGCAUGUGAACCUGUUCACUUCCAUGGACAAGGCCCAGACCUCCAUGAAGAGGGUAUUUCGCCCAAAGGCUUUGUAGAUUUUUGGCAGGGCUGGACGACAGAGGGGUCGUGUCUGCAGCCGUUUCUGGUCUUCCAGACGCCAGAGAUCCCAUGGACCAUCGUUCUUCCCCUCCUACCAGUUCUGGCCUUUCUACUCUCAGAGGUCAGAUAGAGGUCGAGGAAAUUGUGCUAGAGGACGUGCAAGAUGCAUGCAUCUUCAAGUGAGCGCAACUGCUGCUGUUUCUCCCUUUCCCCUGUUGCAUGCGGGCAGACUGUUUCACUGCAGGGACAGGUGGCGGGAGAUGCAUGGGUCCUUCGGACUGCUCGGGGAUAUGUCAUAGAUUUUCAUUCCCCUCCGACCCAGGUUUGUCCUCCGCAAGUUCCCAUUUUCUAUGCAGGAGACCUUCCUACGACCAGAUGAUUUUCUCCAGACGUGAAGACCGUACUGCGCUGGUGGCUCCUGCACAUGUCAGCCUUGAACGAAAGGUGAUUUUCGGUCUGACUCCGGAUUUCAUGCUGGAGAUGGAUACAAGCCUUUGGGGUUGGGGUGCCACCUGUGCGACCAGCUCCACGAGGGGUCCGUGGUCUGAGAGGGAAUUGGAGUUCCACAUCAACUGCCUGGAACUGAUUGCGGGGUCGUUUGCGAUUCGGAGUCUGAC